rnacentral:rRNA from 1 species
AACGGACGCUGGCGGCAUGCCUAACACAUGCAAGUCGAACGAAGCCUUCGGGCUUAGUGGCGCACGGGUGCGUAACGCGUGGGAAUCUGCCUCUUGCUUCGGAAUAACAGUGGGAAACUACUGCUAAUACCGGAUGAUGUCUUCGGACCAAAGAUUUAUCGGCAAGAGAUGAGCCCGCGUAGGAUUAGGUAGUUGGUGGGGUAAAGGCCUACCAAGCCGACGAUCCUUAGCUGGUCUGAGAGGAUGAUCAGCCACACUGGGACUGAGACACGGCCCAGACUCCUACGGGAGGCAGCAGUGGGGAAUAUUGGACAAUGGGGGCAACCCUGAUCCAGCAAUGCCGCGUGAGUGAUGAAGGCCUUAGGGUUGUAAAGCUCUUUUACCAGGGAUGAUAAUGACAGUACCUGGAGAAUAAGCUCCGGCUAACUCCGUGCCAGCCGCCGCCGUAAUAC